rnacentral:rRNA from 1 species
AGUUUGAUCAUGGCUCAGAUUGAACGCUGGCGGUAGGCUUAACACAUGCAAGUCGUGCGAGAAAGUAUCUUCGGAUAUGAGUAGAGCGGCGGACGGGUGAGUAACGCGUAGGAAUCUACCUAGUAGAAGGGGAUAGCCCGGGGAAACUCGGAUUAAUACCGUAUACCUCCUUCGGGAGAAAGAAGGCCUCUCUUUGAAGCUUUCGCUAUUAGAUGAGCCUGCGUAAGAUUAGCUUGUUGGUGAGGUAAAGGCUCACCAAGGCGACNAUCUUUAGCGGGUCUGAGAGGACGAUCCGCCACAUUGGGACUGAGACACGGCCCANACUCCUACGGGAGGCAGCAGUGGGGAAUAUUGGACAAUGGGCGCAAGCCUGAUCCAGCCAUACCGCGUGUGUGAAGAAGGCCCUAGGGUUGUAAAGCACUUUAAGUUGGGAAGAAAAGUUAUUGGUUAAUACCCAAUAACCGUGACAUUACCAUCAGAAUAAGGACCGGCUAAUUCCGUGCCAGCAGCCGCGGUAAUACGGAAGGUCCAAGCGUUAAUCGGAAUUACUGGGCGUAAAGCGCGCGUANGUGGUUUAUUAAGUUGGAUGUGAAAUCCCCGGGCUCAACCUGGGAACUGCAUCCAAAACUGAUUCACUAGAGUACGAUAGAGGGAGGUAGAAUUCACAGUGUAGCGGUGGAAUGCGUAGAUAUUGUGAAGAAUACCAAUGGCGAAGGCAGCCUCCUGGAUCUGUACUGACACUGAGGUGCGAAAGCGUGGGUAGCGAACAG